GCUGUGGGGAUAUGGCAUUGUGGUUCCUGCAUGAAAACAGUAGCUCGUGGUGCCUGGACGUACAACACCACCUCUGCAUUCACAGUAAAGUCUGUC
rnacentral:miRNA from 1 species